CACGUAGUUAGCCGGGGCUUCUUAGUCAGGUACCGUCAUUUUCUUCCCCUGCUGAUAGAGCUUUACAUACCGAAAUACUUCUUCACUCACGCGGCGUCGCUGCAUCAGGGUUUCCCCCAUUGUGCAAUAUUCCCCACUGCUGCCUCCCGUAGGAGUUUGGGCCGUGUCUCAGUCCCAAUGUGGCCGGUCGCCCUCUCAGGCCGGCUACUGAUCGUCGCCUUGGUGAGCCGUUACCCCACCAACAAGCUAAUCAGACGCGGGUCCAUCCUAUACCACCUCAGUUUUUCACACCGAACCAUGCGGUUCUAGUGCGCUUAUGCGGUAUUAGCAGUCAUUUCUAACUGUUAUCCCCCUGUAUAGGGCAGGUUACCCACGCGUUACUCACCCGUCCGCCACUCAGUCAUAAAAGCCCUCAUCCGAAGAAUCGUCCUUAAAUGCUUCGUUCGACUUGCAUGUGUUAAAGCACGCCGCCAGCGUUCAUCCUGAGCCGAGGAAGUCAAACUAC
rnacentral:rRNA from 1 species